UUUUAACGCAUUAUUUUUUUCCCUUUCUUUCACCCUAGUCCUUAUGUCCUCUUUCCUUCCAUCCCUUUCGUCUCUCAAUCUUAUUAAUGGUUGUGCUGACUGAUUAUUGAUCAUGUAUUUUUUCUGAAGUAAGUCUUUAAUGAUGAUUGAAAAUUUAAUAAAAUAAAAAAUUAUAUAAUAAUAAAAUAUAUACUAUUUUUAUUGAUAUGACUAUGAAGAAAAGAGAUGUACAUGGGAUGCAAAUAGAUGGUCAUACUGUGCAAAAUGAUAAGAAUUCUAGAAUAAUUGAUGCUAAAAAUAUUGAUUCAAAAAAUAUUUUUUUUAUUAGUAAAAGAUAGAAAUGAUUAUAUUACUUCUUAUUAUUAUAUUAUUUAAAUAUUUUGAGUUUAUAUUUUUAUUUAGAAUAUUUGACAUCAUCUAUGAUGUCUUUUAUAUUAUGUUAGAUUUUUAAUUUAUAAAAAUAUUAUUUAAAAAAUAAAUACAUAUCAUAUAUCGCAUGUGAUUUUAAGCUAGUUAUAAUAUUAUAAUAGUACUUUGAUCUUCAUUCACUAGUUCAUCAUAUUUCCACACCAAGACAUCAAACUAUAUAUUCCAAAAAGAAGUUCUUAAAUUACCCUAAAAAAAAAAACAAAACAAAAGAAAGAAAGAAAGAUAGCUUUUACCCAAGAAGUAGAUCCCGUUGUAGCCAUUGCUGAACCUUCCGGUGGGCCUUGAGUGCGGGAAGUCAAUGCUGUAACGAGGGAAGUUGGCUUGGCAUUAUUUCUCGACAGGUCGUACGUUGUUGUUUCCAAUGUCCACCAUGGAAUCACCGAACACAUAGAUCGCCGGAACCUUUGGCUGAGCAUUCCCACUUAUAGACAUAGAAAAGUAUUGCAAUCGAUCAAACCAGGCUCAUAAGGUCGGAUCCAGAUCCUUCUCAAGUAUGAGGUAUUAUCUGCUUUGGGAGACCACUGAAAAAAAAAUGUGGUAGUACAGUACAUGCAAUUUAAAAAUUUUAUACAGCAAGAAUAAAAGUUUAAACAAUUUAAUCCUAAUUACAUAUAUAAGAUCCUAUCUUGGACUACCACAUAUGAUCUUUAAUAUGAAAAUAUGCACUUUAGAUCUGAAAAUAAAAAUCACAUCAAUCUCAUCGAUUUAGAAAUUUUAGAUCUAACUAUUAAUCUAUAAUAGGAAUCAAAACAAGUUAAAAAUUGUUACCAAACAAAUUUGAUCUUGAUCUCCUCUGGUCCAAUGGUUGGAGAAGGUGUUCUUUAGAUCACUUACAGCCACACAGAGUCGUCUGGCUUCUAUAGAAAGAUCCACGUAAAGACAGGCACAGAUCAGGGACCUGGAAGUGCUAGCCUACAAGCUACUUCAACAACUGAUUUGUUCCUUCUUCUUCAAGUACCUUGGACACUCCAAAGUAAUAGAGGAUCAAGAGGAGAAAUAGAGGAGGAGGAGAAGAGGCUUUGAAAAUAAAAAAUACCAAGAGAAUGAUCAUGGGAUGUCCAAGAGAGAGGACCCCUUUUUAUAGACUAGGAAUUAGGAUUUUUCUAGGAAGGACUCCAAGAGUCAAUGCCAAAACCUCCUUUUGGCAUCCCAAAAAAUUCUAAAAAAAAUUAUUGGAAUGUGAAGAAGAUUUUUAGAGUCUCACAUGCCAAAAAAUUCUCUAAAAAAAUAAGAAAAAAAUUAAUAUGACACCAACAAUAUUCUAUAUACGAAAUUUUUUUUUCUAAUUUGCCUCUUAUCUCUAAUUCGGAUCGUAUUUGAAUUAGGCAAGAGAUAAUAUUAUGACUCAUCAGCUAUAGCCACCCAUCCUUAUUAGAUCCUCUAUCAUGAUGCCAAAAAUCACAACCCAAAUCCAAUUAGGCAUAGAGAAAUUGGCAUAGAUCCAGGUGUGGUGCAAAAGAUAAGGAUAGAGUCCUAGUUGAUAAGAACUCUUCGUUUUCAAUUCUAAUUCUAAUUCAAAUUAAAUUAGAUUGAACCCACUGAUAGAAAUGAACCUAAUUCAAUUAGAAACUUAAAUAUCUCAUCAAUUUUUUAACCUAAUUAAAAAUUAGUCGAGUCAAAUUCUGAUCAAAUUAGGAUCAAAUUUUUCUUAUAGUCAGACUCGAUCAUAUCAAACUCAAUCAGAGUCGAACUGAGUCUAAUUCAAUUAAACUUGUUUCAAAGCUCUUUGUUCAAUCAAAUUGAGUUAAUUAGUAAUCUAAUUACUAAUUAAUUUUUUACAAAUAGUAGAGUCUCAGUCUCAGUGGGACUCUCCCUCAGAGUUCUAGUUGGAGUAGAAUUCUUCACCAGAGUCACAAUCUAAUUGGACUCUUCAGCCAUAUGAUCUAACCAAAUCUUCUAAUGCGUGUGACCCUAUAGGGUCGAACCUAAGUCAGUAGUAUAGGAACAACUUCUUAUACCAAUCGAUGUAACCAUUUGCAAUGAUGAUCUGACGAUCGAAUAGGUUAAAGUAUUGCAAAGCAACCUUCUAGAAUCUACUGACUUAUGGUUACCGUAUAAUUUAUCUCAUUGACCUAAAUGUUCAAGAUAACCUAGGGUUUAACUAUCAAAUCUAAUUUAGUUGAUCAUAUUGUAUUUUAAUCUUUCAAAUUCAUCUCAUGGAUUAUCCUGAUCAAGAUUUUACUAAAUUGAAAUACACUGAUACAUAUCUCCUACUAAUUCAAAGGAGACAAUUUCAUCUUGAUUUAUACACCGACUUGAUAAGUAUUUGACUGCACUCAGUAGCCUUCGGAUAUUGAGUUAGAAAUUCAAAUGAUCUGAUACUAAAGUACAGUGAAUUGCUUAUAAGUUACCAUGGUGGUCUCAGAUCGGAGAGACAUUUAUAUCCAUACCCUUCACGAGCUACUCUUAACGGCAGAGUGCUCGACAUAUGGUCACAUUCGAUGUAAAUAUACUCCUACAUUUUAUCUGCAUGCUAUAAUAGUAUCUCCACACUCCUUGAUUAAAAGGAGAACUAACUCAUAUGGUACAUAAUAACCUACACUUGAUAUCAUUAUCGUCCUAAUAAUAGCGUAUUGUUUGAUCGCAAAUAUUUUUAAGAACUUAACGACAAAUCUUCUUUUGUCGAUUAGUUAUAGUCUUAAGGGUUUCAUUACAACACAAGAGUUCAAAGAUGGAUAAUUUAUAAUAAAAAUAUUAAAUAGUUUUUAUUAAUAAAAAUUUAUAUUCAAUUUAUAAGAUGAGCACAAUCAUCUAAUGAUUGAUUUUGGGAUAUAUUUUUCAACAACUCUCAUUUGGACUAAAAUCAAUCGGUGCAGUAUCGAAUACCCAUCUUCAACUUGUGAUCAUCGAACUUUUUGAUUUUGAGAACUUUAGUAAAUGAAUCAACUAGGUUCUCCUUUCCAUCAAUCUUCUGAAGGUCAACAUCACCUCGAUCCACGAUCUCUAAGAUAAGGUGAUAGCAGCACAGAAUAUGUUUGGUGCGCUGAUAUGAUCUCGGCUCCUUGGCUUGAGCAAUGACUUCAGUAUUGUCUUAGUAUAACAAGACAGGGUCAUCAAUAGAGUGUGCUACUUUAAGCUCGUCAAUGAACUUUCGCAACCAUAUAGCUUCCUUCAUAGCAACAGAUGUCGCGAUAUACUUCGCUUCGCAAAUAGGGUCUACCACAGUGUGCUACUUAAAUUUUUUUUAGUAGAUCACUCCAUCAUUUAAGAUAAAAAUAUAAUCCGACAUACUCUUAUUAUUGUCAUGGUCUGACUGAAAGCUAGAGUCAGUAAACCCCACCAGUUUUAAGUCAGUUUCACCAUACAUAAGUCACUGAUCCUUAGUAUUUCUCAAAUACUUAAGAAUGAUCUUUACGACCUUUCAGUGGUUCUUUUCUAGAUCAGACUGGUAUCUACUCACUACUUCUAGUGAGUAUGUUAUGUCUGAUCUCAUACAUAUCAUGGUGUAUAUAAUAGAAUCAACUAACGAAGCAUAUGGAACUCUAUUUAUAUGCUCUCUCUCUUGAGGAGUUAUCGAAUAAUCUCCUUUCGAAAGAGAAAUUUUUUGACCUAUCAGAAGAUAACCUUUCUUGAAAAUUUUCAUGUUGAAUCAUUUCAGCAUGGUAUCUAUGUACGUGGAUUGUGAGAGUCCAAGCAGUCUCUUAGAUCUAUCCCUAUAGAUUUUUAUCCCCAGGAUGUAAGCUGCUUCUCCCAUAUCCUUCAUGAAGAAUUAUGAUGACAGCCACACUUUUAUUCCUUGUAAUGCAAGGAUAUCAUUUUCUAUUAAGAGAAUGCCAUCCACAUACAAUACAAGAAAUAUAAUUAUUGAAUCAUUUGCCCACUUAUAUAUGCAGGAUUUCUCUCUGUUCCUAACGAAACCAUACGUUAUGAUCACCUUAUCAAAAUGUAUGUUCUAACUCUGAGAUGUUUGCUUUAAUCAAUAAAUAGAUCUCUGAAGCUUGCAUACCUUGGACUCAUCUGUAGAUAUGAAUCUUUCAAAUUGUAUCAUAUACACAUCUUCGUUCAACUCUCUAUUUAAAAAAAUUAUCUUUAUAUCCAUCUGCCAGAUUUCAUAGUCCCAAUAUGCUCCUAUUGCAAACAUGAUCCGAAUGGAUUUAAACAUUGCUAUAGGAGAAAAUAUCUCAUCAUAGUCAAUAUCAUAAUGCUGACGAUAACUCUUGACAACCAAAUGGGCUUUAUAGGUCUCCACCUUUCUGUCUGUGCCUCUCUUCCUCUUGAAGACCCACUUAUAUCCUAUGGGUUUAACUCCUUUAGGUGGGUCAACCAAUAUCCAUACAUCGUUGACCUUCAUGGAUUCUAUUUUAAAUUUUAUAGCUUCAAGCCAUUAGUUAGAGUCAGACCUCUGCAUCGCAUCUGUGUAGGUGAUUGGAUCCUCAUUAUUCUCAUCGAGUUCAACAAGAUCUCCAUUUCGGGUCAAAAAAUCUAAGUAUCUGUCCGACUGAUGUGGUACUCUACCAGAUCAUCUUAAAAAUAUUUGUGUGUUAGGCUUUGGAUUUAAUCUUAUCAAAUCCGGUUUAGAUUCAAUCUUUGGUUGUCGGUACUUCUAGCUGUCAAACUUCAUCAAGUUCAAUUUUAGAGGCACUUAUUCCUUCACUAAAGAAUUUUUUUUUAAAGUGUGCCUUACCGCUGAUAAACACCUUUUGUUCAACGGACAAGUAAAAAUAAUAUAUUCUUAUUUUUUUGGGAUACCUUAUAAAAUUAUACUUAUCGAACCUAGGGCUGAGCUUGUCAAUUUGUAAUCGUUUAACAUAAGCUGGACAUCUCCAGACCCUAAAGUAAGAGAGGUUUGGCAUACGUUCUGACCAUAUCUCAUAUGGUAUCUUACUAACCGACUUGCUCAGAAUAUUAUUAAGCAUAAGACGAGCUGUUUCAAGUGCAUAUCUCCAAAUUAAAGAAGAUCGACAGAGUUGCAAACUCCAUCAUGGACCGAACCAUAUCCAACAAGAUUUCGUUCCUCUUUUUCGAGAUACCAUUAUGCUGUGGUGUCCCUGAAAGGAUCUAUUAGGAGAGAAUUCUAUUCUCUCCUAGAUAUUUUAGAAAUUUACUAGAGAGGUAUUCACCUCUUCGAUUAGACUGAAGAGUAUUAAUAUUUUUUUCAGUUUAUUUCUCUACUUUAUUACACAACCGUUUGAACGUUUCAAAUGAUUCAAACUUAUGUUUCAUUAAGUAUACGUAUCCAUACCAAAAUAGGUCAUCUAUGAAUGUAACAAAAUAGCUAUACCUUCCUCUGGCAUAUGUGCUCAUGGGUCCACAUACAUUAGUAUGUAUCAAACCCAGCACAUCACUGACUCGUUCAUCUUUUUCAGUAAAAAGUGACUUGAUCAUCUUUUCAAGUAAAUAAAACAUAGGUAGGUAACGAUUAAUAAUCGUCUUUAUCAAGAAUCUCUUUUUGAGCUAAUCUGUUCAUCCUGUUCUUGUUGAUAUGACUUAGCUACAAUACCAAAGGUAGGCAUAUGUGACAUCAUCUAUUCUAGGAUGUUUAUUUGAAAUAUACAUUACAUUAGGUCUAGAUACAACAUAAAAACUAUUGUUCAACCGUCCACAUAAAAUUAUAACACCAUUCAAAAUGAUAUUACUAAUUUUUUUUUAUUGAUAUUUCACAAUUGAAAUUUAUCAAAAGGCCUACAAAAAUAAUAUUUAAAAAAAAUUAAGACAUUAAUGACACUCAUCAAGAAUAAUGUAAUGAGACUCGAAUUCAAGCUUGAUGAUUCUUAAAGUUAGAAUUGGAACUGAUCUUUCAUCUUCAAUAUUCAGGAAUCUCUCGCCUUCUCCAAAUCUCCUAUUAACCUGAAGAUCCUACAACGAAUUGUAAAUAUGAAUAGGGCUAUCGGUAUCCAAUACCCAGGUCAUUGUAUCAAAAAGAGAAAAAUUACAAGAUAUUAUCAUAUGAGUACUUUAUCCAGCAACUGAUUGCUUCUUCUUUUUUGGCCUGUUCGGAUCAAGGGAAACGAUAUACUAAGGAUAAUUUCUCUUUCAGUGACUCUGCUUCUUGUAAAAGAAGCAUUCUACCUAACUUUGAUCAAUCUUGAACUUGAAUUUCUAGGACUGACUCCCUGCACCAGGUAUCUUUUUAUUCUUUUUAUUUUUUUUCUUAAAGAGGCGAUCACUAUCUGAAGAAGAUCCUCCCACUAGAUUUACCAUGUCUUUGUGGAGCUGGUAAUCCUUCUCAAAAGUCUGUAGCAACCCCAACAAAUCAUGUAAUUGACUACAGACUUCGUCAUUCUGAAAUGACUGAGGAACGACAGGUAGGACUUAGGUAGGGAGUUCAGGAUCGCAUCCUUUCCCAGCUGUUCAUGCAAGAAAAAGCUGAGUUUGCUUAGUUUUUCAAUCUGCUAGAUCAUGUAUAAUACAUGAUCGAUAACAAAUGCAUCUUCCCUCAUUCGGAUAUUGAAAAUGGUGCAACUAGUCUUGUAUUGCUCAACAUCAUCAGGAGUACCAAAGGAAUCCUUCAACACUUGAAGCAUUUUCUUUGGUUGAGCCUCUUUAAAUUUCUGACUGAACUCAUCAUUCAUAAAGGCCUGCAUAAUGCAAGAAACUAUAAUGCAAUCAUUGAGCCACUUCAAAUAAAUAUCUUGGACCGCAUCUUGCGCAUUGGGAGCAAGCUCCUCAGGUGCCAGAUCCAUUAUCACAUAAAGAAUCCUCUCGUGCUCCAAAACUAUCUUUAACUUUCGAUAUCAAUUAUCAAAAUUCGAUCUGAUAAGCUUCUCACUGUCUAAUAGUGAUCGAAGCGACAAGCUUCUGCACACACAAAGAAAAUACAAAACCUAAUUAGUAUAUGAAUUUGUUAAUCUUAAAGACUUAGACUUUAGUCUAAAGGUCCUCCUACUAUUUUAUAUGAAUUGGUAGCCUCUACCUCCAAUUCGAAGAAUUACUUUAAUUUCUUAGCGGAUACUAGAAUCCACACAGACUACAUAUAGGUCUGAGGAUGGCUCGAUCAACCAUAUGCAUCUAUGGAUAGGUUCUCAACUAAUUAUUUUUUUAAAUAAUUUUUAGUAUUUAAUUUAGUCUCAAAUUUUAUUUCAGUAGGCGAUGGACCUCCACUGAAAGUUUCGUUAGAUCAAACCAUUAACAUAAACCUACUCAGUGAUUCUAAUCAAUGAGUGAUUAGGUCCGAGGAUGGCUUGAUCAACCCAACCAUCAUCAGAUAGUUCAAUAGAGUCAUCAUAUGAUGAAUGAUAAUUCUAUUAUUCAGAGUAAAUACUAGACGGAUGGCGCCUGUAAUGUUAAUCAUAAAUAAUGGAUCCAUUACCAUUCACUUUAAUGGGAGGCUAUGAUCUAGUUAUCACCAUAACUAGCUCAUUUUAGGAACCUAAUAAUUUAGAAGAUUUAAUCAGUUUAAAGAAGAAAAGAUCAAUCAAUAGAUCAUAAUCCUCCCACUGACUUCACCAAGUCACUGAAUCUGGUUAGGUUAUGCUGAUUGAACUGACACCUCGAUCAAUCACACUGAUCAACUUUAAUGGCAUGGGCUAACUCGAAUCACUUAGCGAUCUAACUAAACUCUACUUCACCAAAUUGGCAAGGUAAGUGAGAUCGGUGGGAGGAUCUACUAAGCUUAUCUUAGACACUAUCGAAAUAGUCAGGUAAGCCGUUCCCAAUUAAAAAUCACCGAUCAAAAUGCCAAACUUAUCUUAGACAUCAAUUAAUUAACUAGUUUUGAUUUAACCAACUUAAUAAUUUGGGUUCAACCACUGAGCCACAAUCAAGGCCUAUUUAAUCUAAUCAAAGAUAUGGACUUGACUGUCUACAACUAUUGUACUAGAGAAAUCUUGAUUAAUCUAAUUCAACAUUUGAUUCGACUUAAUCAAUUUCUCUAUAUAGUCAAUCAAUUCUUUAAUUCUAAUCUUAGGUCUAAUCCAAUUAAAGAGAAGAACCUGAUUUGAGCUAACCCAUGCCCCAUAUUUUAGGUAAUGUCAUUAGAUCUAAAUCACAAUUCUAGAUCUAUUGGGUUUAACACUUAAUUCUUAAUAAAGUUUUGCAUCAACAUAGUUAAGAUUUUGAAAAUAAUUUUUCAUGUAAAUUUUUUAUAUCAAAUCAUAAAAUUUUUUAGAUCAAAUUUAAAUUUUUAUAAUUUUUAAUUAAAAUAAUUUUGAUUAAUCAAAAUUAGAUGUAACUAGAUUCUUCGCAACUUGCAUCAUAUACAACAACACCUAAGAUUUCAAGAUCUAGGUUUUACAAGAAAAUAAGCUUUUUCUUUUCACUUUCUUCUUCAUGAGAUCUCAUAGUGGCACCCCUACACACCAUGAAGAGCAUUCCAUUGAAUGGGAGGAGAGGGUCAUAAAAAUCUUACUUGCUCCUAUGAUCGAACNNNNNNNNNNNNNNNNNNNNCAUAUCAAAAUAAUCUGACGCUGAUAUGAGUUGAAGAAAAUAUGCGGUAGUACAGUACAUGCAAUUUAAAAAUUUUAUACCGUAAAAUAAAAAAUUAAAUGAUUUAAUUCUAAUCAUAUAUAUAAUAUCCUAUAUUAGACUACCACAUCAUGAUCUUUGAUAUGAAAAUAUGAACUUUAGAUCUGAAAAUAAAAAUCACAUCGAUCUCAUCGAUGCAAAAAUUCAAGAUCUAACUAUUAGAUCUACUAUAAGAAUCAAAAUAAGUUAGAGAUCGUUAUCAAAUAAAUUUGAUCUUAAUCUAAAGAUGUUCUUUAGAUCACUCACAGCCAUAUAGAGUUAUCUGACCUCUACAGAAAGAUCCAUACGAAAACAAGCACCGAUUAAGGACUUGGAGGUGCUAGCCUGCAAGCAACUUCGACAGCUGAUUUAUUCCUCCUUUUUCAAGUACCUUGGACACUCCAAAGUAAGAGAAGAUUAAGAGGAGGAAUAGAGGAGGAGAAGAGGCUCUAGAAACAAAAAACACCAAGGGAAUGGUCAUGGGACAUCCAAGAGAGAGGACCUCUUUUUAUAGACUAGGAAUUAAGGUUUUCCAAGGAAGGGCACCAAGAGUCAAUGCCAAAAUCUCCUUUUGGCAUUUCAAAAAAUUCUAAAAAAAUUAUUAAAAUAUGAAAAAGAUUUCUAAAGUCUCAUAUGCUAAAGAAUUUUUUAAAAAAAAUAAGAAAAAAAUUAAUAUGGUGCCAACAAUAUUCUAUAUAUAAAUUUUUUUUUCUAGUUUACCUCUUAUCUCUAAUUCAAAUCGCAUUCGAAUUAGGCAAGAGAUAAUAUUAUGACUCAUCAGCUAUAGCUACCCAUCCUUAUUGGAUUCUCUAUCAUGAUGCCAGAAAGCAAAACCCAAAUUCAAUUAGAUCGGGAGAAAUUGGUAUGGAUCCAGGUAUAGCGCAAAAGAUAAGGAUAGAGUCCUAGUUGACAAGGACUCUUCAUUUUCAAUUCUGAUUCUAAUCCAAAUCAAAUUUGGAUUGAAUCCACUGAUAGAAAUGAACCUAAUCCAGUUAUGAACCUAAGUAUCUUAUCAAUUUUUUAACCCAAUUAGGAAUUAGCCGAGUCAAAACUCUAAUCGAAUCAAGAUCAAAUUUUUCUUAUAAUUGGACUCGAUCAUAUCAAAACCAAUCAAAGUGGAACUGAGUCUAAUUCAAUUAGACUUGUUUCAAAGCUCUUCGCUCAAUCAAAUUGAGUCAAUUAGUAAUCUAAUUACUAAUUAAUUUUCUAAAAAUAGUAGAGUCUCAGUCCCAGUAGGACUCUCUCUGAGAGUCCUAGCCGGAGUAGGACUCUUCAUCAUAGUCACAAUCCAAUUAGACUCUUCAGCUAUCUAAUUUGAUCAAAUCUUUCAAUGCGUGUGACCUCAUAAGUUUGAACUUAAGUCAGUAGCAUAGGAAUAACUUUCUAUACCAAUCAAUAUAACCAUCUAGCAAUGAUGAUCCGACGAUCGGACAGGUUGAAGUAUUGCAAAGCAAUCUUCUAGAACCUACUGGCUUAUGGUUGCCAUAUAAUUUAUUUCUUUGAUUCACUGCUUAAGGUGACCUAAGGUUUAACUGUCAACUCUAAUUUAGUUGACCAUAUUAUAUUUCAAUCUUUCAAAUCUAUCUCAUAGAUUAUCCUGACCAUGAUUUUACUGAAUUGAAAUAUGUUGACGCGUAUCUCCUAUUAAUUCAGAGGGGUCAAUUCCAUCUUGACUCACACAUCGAUUUGAUAAGUACUUGACUGCACGCAGUAGCCUUUCAAUACUGAGUUAGAAACUCAGAUAGUUCAGUACUAAAGUACAGUGAGUUGCUUACAAGUCACCGUGGUGGUCUUAGAUUGGAGGGACACUUAUAUCCAUACCUUUCACGAGCUACUCUUAACAGCGGAGUGCUCGGUACAUGGUCAUGUUUGAUGUAAAUAUACUUCUAUAUUCCAUUUGCAUGCCAUAACAGUGUCUCCAUACACCUUGGUUAAAAGGAUAACUAACUCAUAUGGUACACAAUGACCUACACUUGAUAUCACUAUCAUCCUAGUAAUAGCGUAUCGUUUGAUCACGAAUAUUUUUAAGGACUUAAUGACAAACUCUCUUUUAUCGAUUAAUCAUAGUCUUAAGAACUUCAUUACAACAUAGAAGUUCAAAGAUGGAUAAUUUGUAAUAAAAAUAUCAAAUAAUUUUUAUUAAUAAAAAUUUAUAUAUAAUUUAUAAGAUGAGCACAACCAUCUAACGAUUAGCUUUGGGAUACAUUUUUCAGCAACCACCAGGACGAACUACAUGCGGCGUGGCAUGAUUAACCGUAACACUGGUGGCCCAUGCUGGUCCUCCCUCCAAUAUACAAUGUCUCCUCCAUAAAAAUCUGAGCUGAAAGGUAAAUUCAUUUGGAGUAGGCUAUGGUUCUCUGACUAAGGGGCCACUAUUGUGGAAGGGAGUGGACUUUAUUCCCACAUCGAUUGUUCAGUCAAGCAACCUUGCCUUGUAAGACUUGACAUCCUCCUCUCUCAUUGCAAGACACCUUUUGGGCCAGACCCAAAGGGGCAAAGCCAUGAGGGACCCAUGCCGCACGCCGAUCAUCUCGAUGGUCUCUCAAAGUGGACAAUACCUCAUACUUGAGAAGGAUUCGAAUCCGACCUUAUGAGCCUGGCUCGACCGACCGCAACAAAAAGAAAAGAGCAAGAAGAAGAAUAAGAACUAACGCCACAGUGCUGCUUCUAAUUAAGCUAAGCUCUGAUGUAAUUAUUCCUCCUCUAGCUCUUAUUUAUAGACUAGAGGAGUGGGGUAAGAAGUUGAUGAAAGCCAUUGUGAAUUGUGAGUGUCUGAUUCAGUGGGUGUUGGGUUUCCAUAAGUAGACAAGGUCGAGCACCCGAUUGUUUUCAGGAUAAUUACGUCAAAAUAUUUUAAUUUCUUACUUAAAAAAAUUAUUUUUUUUUGACUACUCAGAGUGAUACUCAUAAAAAUUUUAGAUGGAUAUAAAAAAAAACUUUAAUCUUCAAGCUAAAUAAUCUAUAUAAUUUUUUUCUUAAAAAAAUAUUUUUUUGAUUGAUUAGAGUGAUAUUUAUAAAAACUUUAGAUGGAUAUAAAAAAGACUUCAAUCUUCAAGCUAAAUAAUCUAUAUGGCUCUGAUACCAUCAUAUUAGAACUUUAUAGAACAAUAAACUUACUCAAAAAAAGGUCAUCAAUGCCAUCCUCAAUCUCUCAAAUCAGUCGACCUACAAUCAUAAAAAGAAACUGAGCUGGAUAUACUCCUUGCUGUCUAUUGAACAGCACCUUGGUUUUUAAAUUCCAACUCUGAGUAUUUCGGAUGGAAAGAUCUCACAAGUUCUUGGAUGAGUUGGGGACUAAGUCUGUAGGGGAUAUCCUUUUAUAGUGUACCCCACACAUCAGAGGUUAUAUCUAAAUUGAUAAUCGAUAAAUUAAAAACUAACAUGCAUGGAUCUACCCUUAAAAAUUUAAUUACUCCAUAGAAUAUAUACUAUAUAUACUUGAUAGAAAAUAAUUAUCAGUAUGAAUCAUGGUGUGAUAAAUAUAUUAUUAAUCAAUACACAUCCUUCAAUGCAUCGUAAUACUAAUAACAUCUUAUAAUAUUUUAUUUUAUAAAUACAUGAAACUUUAUUGCUAUUUCUUGGUCUUCUUUAUAUCACAGGGUAAAGAGUCGAUUAGUAUAAAAUAAAAUAAAAUAAACUGAACUGAACUUUAUUAUAAAACUUAAUAUGAUGAUUUUAUACAUAUAUAUUGUCGCAUACAUAAAAUGAGCUAAUGCACCACAUGAUCUCUCAAAAUCUUGAAAAUAAGUUCUUCAAUUAGUAGAUUUAUAAUUAUCAGCUCUUUAUUAAUAUGUUUCACAAACACUAUGUCCUUUUUUCUCUUACGAAAAGUGAAGUAUUUAACACCAGUAUACAAACAAGUGCUUUUACUCUUUAUAUUAUAGGAGAAUCUUAUUGUGAUAUUAUUAUCACAAUAUACCUUUAUCAGUCUGCUGAUAGAAUCGACAAUUGUAAGUUCUAUAAUAAAAUUCAGUAAUCAUAUAGCUUGUGAGAAAAUUUCAUAACAGGCUAUGUACUCCAUUUUUAUAGUGAAUGUAGUAAACUAGAUUUUAUUUUUUUCUCAUUUUGAUGAUAUAGCAUCUUCUACAAGUAGAAAGAUAUAUUUGAUGGUAGAUUUCCUACUUGAAAAAAUUUUUAAGUUUCUCGUAUAUAUUUAAUUAAUCAUGUUAAUUAAAAAAAUUUCAUAUAUCUUUAAUUAAUCAUAUUAAUUAAACAAAAUUGAGAAGAAAGAAUGAGAUCUAAUCUAUUCCAUCAACACGGCGAACAUAAAAGUUAACUAUUCAACCCUUCAUGUAAAAGAGAAAAUAUAUCCUCAAAAUCCCAAUAUACAGAGGAGAAAAAGAAUUGAAGAAUAAAAAAAUAACUUUUUUUUUAUACUUUUGUAUGGAUAGAUGAACUCCGUGACUGUAGAUCGUGGACUAGAUCUUUUUCUUGUAGCCACACAAAUGUCUGAUCUCCAUAAGUAUCCACACAAAGAUAAAGACAAUCAACAACUUCUUGAUUCUCUGAGGUGCAAGCUUCCUUGCAGAAUAUUUGCUUGACGGUAGAGAGUUCUCAACUCUUUGAGAACUGUAACAGGAUAAUAGCUCUCUUGAGAUUUUUUUUGCUGAAAUUCUAAAUUUCGAGAGGCAAGAGAGAAGAGGGAGAGGCCCUUGGGUGUGGAGAGGAAGGAGGAGAGAGAGCUUGGGCAACAGCCUUGAGACUAGAGGAGAGAACCUUUUGGGGCAUUGGGAUGCUUUUUACCCUUGGGUGUGGCUACCCUUUUAUAAGCUCAAAGCCCUAGGGUGCCACCCCACCUUUCAUGGAAAAAAUCUCCUUUCCUAAAGAGGACAGGCGGCUACGGUUAUUGAAGAGAGACUCCCAAUGUUGCCACCCUAUAUAAUUCAGCCAAAAGGUUUCCUACUGUGGCUUGGGUGGCUAGGGUUUCAAAAACCCUAAUGGUGCCACCCUAUACCUUCUAUAAUUUGCUCUUUUGUUGUGGCACCUAGGGUUUCAUGCAUGGAAACCCUUAGGGCAUGGGCUUUUCUUGACUAGUCAAAGUCUAGUCCAAAUAAGACAAGGAUGUUAGAUUUAAUUAUCAUACAAUUGAUGCACCCAAAUCCUUUUAGGUGCAUGUGACCUAAGCUCCAAUUGAUCUAAGUCUUGACUCAAAUUCAAUUGAAUCUGAAUCCCUAUUUGAUUUAACUUGAAUUCAGCCAUAAUUAAUUUAAUCCAAUCAAAUUAAGACUUGCAAUAUUUGUACAUUAGUCUUCCUCGAACUUUGCUAACUAUUAGCAAGUAAGCUUCUGCUACUUGUAAUAAUUACAUGUUAGUCUGAUUAUUAAUUACAUUGAUAAUUUGGAACCUAUAAUGAUUUGUAAUCAUAAUCCAACCAUCUGAUUAGUUUCAAUCUCUUUAUAUGUGUGAUCCCAUAGAUUUUAUUCUAUCUGAUAGUAAGAUAUGUUGAGAUCUCUAUCACGACAAUGUUGAAACUCUUUUCAAUAGAUUGAAAUACUUUCAAUUUUUUUCAAUAAGAAUCAUCUAAUGAUUCUCAUGGUCGCCACAAUCCACUAGUGACAUCUAGUAAUAUAUAAUGGCAAUCUAGCCGAAUGAAAUGGGAUGAACCUCUAAGUACAGUAAGCAUAUAAUACAGUCCUUCUAUCAAAGAUUUCGAUAAGAUGGAGAUAAUGAAUUACUUGUCAAAUCACAUCAUCUAUCAUAUGUAAAAUUUACUCGACUUGAGUUCUUAAUGUGAAGUAUUUGAAAAUUCAUUUCUAUUAUUUACACUACUUUAACCAAAGUCUUCUGAACUCAAUUCUGUAAAUCAUAUAAAAUCAUCUUCCUUAUCUAUCAAAGAUGAUAAAUUUUAUCUCGGUGUGCAUCCUAUUCCUACAAUAAAUUUACUACAGCUAAUAUAUACCACAAAGAUUUAUAUGGCUAGGGAUCAAGUAUAUAUAUAGUCAAACUAUAUUAGUCUUACUGUGAACAGCCAAGGCACCUUAGAUUAAAGAAUGAGUUGCACAACUAUAGCAUCGAGCAAGUCACUGAUGAGUAGGUGGCCAUCCAAGUGACUUUUCAUAAUGGUCAUGCACAGUAUCUUUAUUUUACAACAACCACUAGCACUUUCGCUCUAACAUCCCCACACUGUAGACUUAAGACUUAUCUAUCCUAAAGAAAGUGAUGCAUGCAUCAAUCUUACCAGAUCAAUCAUCAUUUUCGUAAUAAUUCAUUGAUCGAAAGUAAUUUAAAAAUUAAUCACCAAUGAUACAUGCAUCAAAUUUUCAAUACUUGAGAAUAUGUGUCAUCAUCAUAUUAAUCUCUUGGAUGAUUAAUAGAUACAUAACAUAAUAUGAAUAAAAAAAUAAUCUAAUUUUAUUAAUUUUAAUACUUUAAAUAUAAAAUUACGUUCUUAAAAAAUUUAUAUGUGUCAAUCUAAUUGGCUUUUAGAGCAUACAUCUAACAGUACUGUCAGUGUAUCCAUUAAACUCUAAAUCUUAAUAGCUAUUACUUAAUGAUGAUCAGACUGAUUGCAUACGAGCAUGUAAACUUUUACACCUUGUAGGCAAUGCUUAACUUUCUUUAUAACUUUUCAAUACUCCAUUUCUGAAUCAUGUUGAUAAUGUCCAAGCAUUGGUAUAGUAAAGAUAAUGUCUAGACACAUGCAAAUAUGGGCAUAAAUCAAACUCAUAACAGCUGAUGCAUAGGUUAUGAACUUUAUUUUCUCUCUCUUUUUCUUAAUUUUUGGACAUUAGGGUUUAUUAAAUUUAUCACUCUUUACAAUAGAAGCAACCUCAGAAGAAUAUUUUUCUAUCUUAAAUUUAAUACUAUAUAUAAAAAUGUAAAUUAUUUAAGAUAGUCCAAGUAGCCUUUAAGGAUCUAUUUCUGUGAAUCUCAAUGUUGAUAAUAUAAAUGGAUUCAUCUAUAUAUUUCAUCUCAAAAUUUUAGGAUAAAAAUUAUUUAAUUUUCUUAAAAAGAUUGAAAUCAUUACUAAUAAGUAGAAUAUUAUUCAAAUAAUACUAAAAUUAUGAACUUACUGUCACUAACCUUCAAAUAUAGUAUUUUUUAAACUUAAAGAAUGUAAUUACCCCAUCAAAUUUCAGAUAUCACUAUCUGAAAGCUUAUUUAAGUCAAUAAAUAUUUUUUUUAAUCUACAAAUAGUGUGCUCUUGUCCACUGACAAUAAAAUUCUUGGAUUGUUUCAUGUAAACCUCUUCUUCUAUAUCACCACUGAGGAAGGCCAUUCUCAUCCAUCUGAUAUAGCUCCUAGUCAAAAUGAGUUAUUAAAGCAAUGCUAAUCCAAAAAAAGUCCUUUGAUGAAAUAAAAAAUUAAAUAGAUUUCUUUAAAGUUAAUGCCUUCCUUUUGUGUGAACCUUUGUACCAUAAAGCUGAGUUUUACCAUUCAACUUUACCGUUGAAAUUCUGUUUGGUCCUAUAGAUCUAUUUGCAACCAAUUGAUCACACCUUUUAGGUAGGUUAACUAAUUUCUAGAUAUGGUUAUUAUCCAUAGAUCUCAACUCUUCUUUCAUGGCAUCUAACCAUUAUAAGAAGUUCUCAUCUUUCAUGGCUUAUAUCUUUUGAUCAUCAUCCUUUUUAUCCAUAUUAAUCAAAUACACUACAUAAUCUAAAGCUAUAAUAGAUUUUCUUAUUUUAGUAGAUUUUCAGAGAACCAUCUCUUGAUUUACUUGUAGUAGUUGUUAUAUAGUUGCUUUUUUGGCAAUAAAAAUCUCAUGGGAUGGAACUUGAUGAAGUGAUGAUUCCUCCUGAAUGUUAUCUGAAGGAAUAAUAGUAGGACACAUCACUUCAAUCUGCUUUUCAAGCCUAGUAUUUCUUCAAAAAUAAUAUCUCAAGGUUUUUUACUUUCAUUAAACAUAUUGUCUUCUAGAAAUUUAGCUUUAUUAGAUUCUACUAUCUAUGAUGUAUGAGAUAAAAAUUAAAAUCUACAUCAUUUUGAUGUCUUUGGAUAACUAAUAAAAAAAACAAUGAUCAUUCUAAGAUCAAAUACAAUUUUUCUGUAGGUUGUAAACCUUAGCUUUAGCUGGACAUCCCAUAUACGCAUUUCCCAAACUAAAUUUUCUACUGGUCCAUAGCUCAUAAGGAGUUCUUUGAACUACCUUAGUAAGGAUCCUACAUAACAUAUGCAUCGUUAUCUUUACAGUCUUAUCUCACAAGAAAAUAGGUAGGUUAGAAUAACUUAUUAUAAUCCGAACUAUUUAUUUAAGUAUCCCAUUCCUUCUUUCAAUUACAUAAUUCAGAUUUGGUGUGCUUGACAUUGUAUACUAGAAUAUAAUACUCUAUUUCUUUAAAAAUUUUGCUAAUGAUCAUGGCUUUUUUUCAUAUAUCUUCAUAUAUUUACUAUAGUAUUCACCAUCUCUAUCGGAUCUGAAUAUUUUAAUCACUUUUUCUGAUUAUCUCUCUGUCUUUAUUUUAAUUUUCUUAAAAACUUCAAAAAUAUCAACCUUAUAUAUACCAUGAAUAGUCAUUAAUAAAUAUAAUGAAUUAAUUUUUACCUAUUAGAUAUGAAAAAAAAAUAUGCAUACAUCAGUAUGAAUGAUUUUCAAAGUUCUUUCACUCCUUCUGGCACCCUUCUUAAACGUGUAUGUCUACUUUACCUUUAUAUAGCAUGCACAAGCAUAAAAUCAGUUAAUUUAAUGAUCCUAAGAUCCUAUUCUUCACUAGCUACUAUUUUAUAACAUGUCUCACCUAUUAGAGGUAGUGUCUGCAUUAUAAUAACUGAGAUGGACAUUAUCCAUAAUAGUCAUUUAGAUAUUAACUUUAUCACAAUAACUAUCUAAUAUAUCUUUACAACUUUAUCGAAGACUUAUUUUUAGUCAGAGUUCAGAUCAAAUUAAAUCAAUCAAAAUAAAUUCCUAUGUGUGUUAGUAUGGGCCACAUGUAGAUCGGGCUUAAUUGGAUGAAUCUAGCAAAUGCUUCUAAGCUCUGACUCUAUUAUUCGUCCACUAACUAUUAUUAAUUUAUAAAAUAGGGGGAGCGGGAUAAAAAGCUAAUAAAAGCCAUCAUGGCCGGCUAUAAUUGAAAACUUAUGGAAAGCAUAUGAAUAUAUAUAUUAACUAAGAAACCAACAACAAAGACAAAGUUGUCAUAGUGUCCGAUCCAACACCCAAGGGGUGUUAGGUUUCCAUAAGCAAACAAGGUGGAGCUCUCGAGUGUUUUCUAGGUAAUUAAGCUAGAAAGUUUUAAUUUUCUCCUAAAAAAAUUUUUUUCUUUCUUUUUGCUGGUCAGAUCUAUAUCUAUAAAAAUUUUGUAUGAAUAUCAAAAAGAUUAUAAUCUUCAAGACAAACAAUCUAUAUGGCUUUGAUACCAUAAUAUUAAAACUCUAUGCGGUAAUCAAACUAACUUGAAGAAGAAACCAACGAUGCCAUCCUCAAUCUCUUGAAUCAACCUAUUUAUAACCAUAAAAAUAAAUCGAGCUGGAUAUGCUCCUCGUCAUCCAUGAGCAGCAGCUUGUUUUUUCAAUUCCAACUUUGACUAUUCCUCAUAGAAAAGACCUUAUGAGCUUUUGGAUGAGUUGGAGACCAAGUUUGUUGGUGGUGUUCUUUUAUGACAUGCCUCAUCCAUUAGAGGUAAUGUCUGAAUCAAUUAGUAAUGACUGAGAUAGACAUUAUCUAUAAUAAUUAUAUAAAGGUUAACUUUAUCAUAAUAACAUCAAGCAUAUCCUUAUCUCUUUAUCAGAGACUUAUCUUUCAUCAGUUGCUACUAAUUUUUUUGAUGCCUUACAUAUUAACAGGGCUAUAGCUAACGAUUAAACCUAAUUGUGAGAUUGGAGUAAAUGAAACCUACUUCUAUAAGCGAAAUGAUCAAGUAGUUGAAGAGAUGCUAUUGAAGAACUUCGAGAUUUCUUGUUUCAUGAAGCAUGCUUCAUUGAGUUCAUUCAUAAGGUUUAUGAAUCUACUCAUUCUCUGUCUAGCUAUUAUUCACUUAAACAAUGCAAAAUUUUACUAUCUAUCUCGAGCAGACUGGAUUCAAAUGCAUCAACUCAGCUAUGGCAAUUUUGUAGUCUAUGGCAUCCCUCCUCUUUUAAGGAGCAUUGUUAUUUCAACCGGAUUACCAUCGGAUGGAAGUUGUCAACCUUUUUUGUCAGUGGCCAUUGGCCUUCAUUACUUAUAUCCUGUCUUUGCUUACUUAUGUGAUGUAUACUGUUUGUACUUAUCUUCUAUGCUUCUGUUUCCUACUACCUUAUUUUCCUAUGUUGUAAUCACACUGACAUGUCACUUAUAAAGCAUUUGCUCCUCUUAUUUACCCAAAAAAAAAAACCCAGCCUCCAUUAGCUAAAGACCUAGAAAGGAGGAUCCAAUGGCCUCCAUUCUCAUCGUCUGUGCCCAAGGCCCAGUGCGCUAAGUGGUGAGCCUGCCAAAUGGUUGCAACGUAAGCAGCCACUGGGCCAGAGCCCAGUUGGUAUUGCUACUUGCUUGCGUUUCAUCUCUAUGCGGUACUUUGCUAAUUAAGCACGAACCAUUUCGGCUUCACAGUGAAGGGACCCCCAAGUUCUAUAUGUAUGUCUCUUCUUAAUGCAAAACUGUUGACAGCCUUACCUACCCUAUCUUUCCAUCUGUGGCAUUUUCCUGUUUAUGUAAUAGUCGUGAAUGAUUUUUUCUUAUUUAAAGGAUAAGCAAAAAUAGGUUAUUACCUUCCUUUAAAGAGAAUGAAAACUCUUGUAUAAAAUGGAGAGGACCCCGAAGGCUGUAAUAUGAAGAAAAAUAAAAAGAGAAUUCCUCCUUUCUCAAGAAUUCCUCCUCUCCCAUCUCUAGUUUUCAACAUGGUACCAGAGCUCUCGGGAUCUGACACAUGACUUUUUUUCUCCUCUUUUGAAUCUUUUUCUGAUCCAUGAUUUUUUUCCAAUUUUUUUUUCUCCCUUUGCUAUUGUCCUCAAAGUUUUUUUGAAACCGCAGCCUGCAAUCCAUCUCCUCUUCUUCUUCUUCUUCUUCUUCUUCUCAUCACCGAUCGGCACCACCAUGGCAUCACCCUCCUUCCUUCAUCACCGCCGCCUCCGUGCAUGCCACCACAGAUCGCUGUCCUCACCGUCCAAAUCCCAUCACCACUGCAGAUCACUGUCCUCGCCGUCAAAACCCCAUCGCCGCCCGCCCCUCUUCCCCUCUAUGCCUCCAUGCACGCCGCCUCCAUGCACGCCGCUGCCUCCUUCAUCGACACGUCCAAACCCCAUUGCUGCUUCCUUCAUUGCCACCGCCUCUAUGCACGCCGCCGCCACCUCCUCUUCCUUCACUGCUCGCCCCUCUUCUCCUCUGCUCGGCAGAUCAGCCCAUCAUCACCGCAACAUGCCGCCACAAAUCGCCGUCCACUGUCCAUCGCUGUCCUCGCCGUCCAAACCCCAUCACCGCUUGUGGCUCGCCCUUCUUCCCCUCUGCUCCUUCAUCGCCUUCGCCUCUGUGCACGUCGCCACCUCCUUCAUCAACACGUCCACACCCCAUCACCACCGCAAACCACCACCACCACCUCGAGCGCCUCCACACAUGCCCUCCGCGCACACGCCCACAACCCAUCAAAUGCCGCCCAUCGUCCCGUGCCCCCCUCGUCUCGCUAUGAAACAAAGAAAGGUUAGCUCUUCCCUCUUUAGUUAUUUGUUUUUUUCUUUCUCCAAAAAAAAGAGAUGAAAAUCAUUCAGUAGUUUUCAUCCAGUAGUUCUUUUUUAGCAUACUUGGAAGUGUCGGGCGGUGUUAUUGAAGAAGAGUUUGAGAAGCCAAUCGAUGAGGUGGUCCGCACCUCUGACUCUUGGUCUGUAAUAGACAAUCCUUCUCUCUUGAUUAGCUCUGUUCGACUUGACAGACCUCUCACCUAUCCUAUGUAGUCUCGAAAUGUGCGGCUAUAUAUCCAAACUCGCAGAUUUGAAGGAUUUCUCACUGAAACUGCUGUUAAGCCACAAUCCAAAGAUACAAAAAUUUUAAAAUGGGAAUCAUAGAAUUCUCUUGUAAUGGCUUGGCUUUUCAACUCUAUGGUGCCUUUUAUUGCUCAAGAUAUGUCAUUUUUUAAAACCGUCCAAAAAAUUUGGGAGGGUACUAUCCAAACUUAUUCACAACAGGAUAAUACUGCUCAAGCUUUUGAGCUCUAAUGUAAGGUGCGUGUUCUUUGACAAGGAGAUCUCUCUAUCACUACUUAUAUGACAGAACUCCAGUGUAUAUGGUCCGAGCUAGAUUUUUAUCGCCUCUUCAAAGCUUAUUGCUCUGAAGAUGCUAUUAUGUUCAAGAAAUUCACUGAUGAAGAGCGAAUCUUUGAUUUUCUUGCUAGACUCAAUGACGAAUUUGACUCAAUCAAGGUUCAGAUUUUGGGUCAGAGUAUAGAUCUGCCUCCCCUUGAGCAAGUCUUCUCUCUGAUUCUGAGUGAAGAGACUCACCAUCGUUUGAUGGUUGUUUCAGAUACUAUCCACUCUGCCAUGGUUGUCCAACCCCAAUCACAAUCUCAACAAUCUCGUGGACAUGGAGAUAUGCGAAUAUGCUCCUAUUGCAAUAAAAUGGGACAUGUUCGUGAUACCUAUUGGCAGCUAUAUAGCCAUCCCUCUGGUUAUGAUAGAGGUGGUCGUCGAGGAAGAGGACGUUCUGGUGCAACUAUUAAUCAUCAUCAGGCCAAUCUUUCUGAGUACAUAGAGAAAGGUGUUUCAUCUACGAAGGCAUCAACUCCUCCACCUUCACCCAUUAAUGCUGGAAGUUCAUUAUCUACUGAUGAGAUACUCCGUCGAAUUAUGAACUGACUUAAUGUUCCUUCUGGCAGUGCUCCUUCCAACAACAGUUUGCCUAGUAAAUCCUCCAAUUCUCCUUCAAUUUUCUUCUCUCAUUUUGCACAAUCCAAUCUCUCUCAUAUUAAAUCCAGUGCAUUAACUCCUGAUACUUUUAUCUCUUCCAUUAAUACUGAUAAGAUGUGGGUCAUAGACUCUGGUGCCACUAUGCAUAUGACUGAUAAUUCUGAUAAAUUUACGUCUUACUCAUUCUAUUCUGAUAAAGUUUGUAUAGCUGAUGGUUUUUUUCGACCUGUGUAUGGAAACGAAUCCAUCACCUGUACACCAACCAUAAAACUAUCUUCUGCUUUGCAUGUCUCUAAUUUUUUCACUAAUCUAUUAUCUAUUCAUUCUAUUACAAAUGAUCUGAAUAACAAAGUUACAUUCUUCUCUACUUAUUAUGUUUUUCAGAAGUUGACAAUAGGAGAGAUGAUUGGGUAUGGUAAAAUACACAAUGGACUCUACUACCUGAAUGACGGGAAGCUACAAAACUAUCAAAAAGCUGGUAUAGUUGUUUCAUCAUCUACUGAUGCCAUGAAUAAACUUCACUUACAGCACCAUAGAUUUGGAUAUAUCUCUUUUUCUGUGUUAUCAAAACUAUUUUCUAGUUUAUAUAAUUUUUUUGCUAAAGAAUAGUUAGUUUGUGAUGCGUGUGAAUAUGCUAAGCACACUCAAAAUACUUAUCCGACUUCAGAAACUCAUAGUACUAAACCAUUUGAUAUUGUUCACUCGGAUAUGUGGGAACCUUAUAGUACUAUCUCUACUUCUGGACAUUAUUAUUUUGUGACUUUUAUUGACUGCUACAGUAAAAUGACUUGGGUAUAUCUUCUAAAGGCUAAAGAUAAGGUUAUAUGCUAUUUCAAAGAAUUUCAUAAAUUAGUUGAUAUCCAAUUUAGUACCAAAAUUAAAGGAUUGAGAUCUGAUAAUGGUACAAAAUAUAUGCAUAAGAAAUUUCAUGAGUAUCUAACUACUCAUGGAAUUAUCCAUCAAACUACUUGUGUUGACACACCAAUCCAGAAUGGUGUUGCUGAAUGAAAGAAUCGACAUCUUUUGAAAGUUUCUAGAUCCUUGUUAUUUGCUAUGCGGUUCCAAAAAUCUUAUGGGGCGAGACAGUUGUCACUGCGGCUUAUCUGAUUAACCAGAUGCCUCUUCGAACUCUAGAGUAUAAGGCACCACUUGAAUACCUACAAGGAGAGUCUUCUUUUAUUGUACCUCCUCAGAUACUCGGGUGUGUAUGCUUUAUCCGAGAUCAUCAUCUUACACUCGGCAAGCUUGAUCCAAAAGCUCUGAAAUGUAUCUUUGUACUCAAAAGGGUUAUAAAUGAUAUUAUCCUCCUGAAAGGUGGGUGUUUGUCAGCAUGGACAUCACUUUUCGAGAGACUGAAGCCUUCUUUGAUAGUGUUUCAAUAAUUCAGCUAGCUGCUUAACUAUCUUUAGCCCAACAAUUUAUUUGCUCUUCCAGUAUCCUUUCUAGAGCUACUGGUCGAGAGGGGGAGAUUAUAGUAAUUGAGGAGACUGAGCAGGAGUAGGAACAAACUAAUGAACAGCUGGAUAGUGACUCUAAUUGACAGGGAGAGUCUUCGACUAAGCCCAUUGUGCAUUCUAUUGCUACCCAACAAUCUUCCUCUGACUCAGUUCCAGCAUCCUCAUUUGAUAAUGAUGAUAUUCCUCCUCCUGACCCUACCUUGAAUUUACUUAUUACUCAUAGAAAAGCUUCUCGUUCUCAUAUUAUUCUUUCUCAAUAUUAUUAUGAUAUUGCUAAUUUUAUUUUCUAUGAGUUUAUAUCACCAACAUAUAGGUCGUUUAUUGCAUCAUUAGAAACUAUCUCUAUACCAACACACUGGAAGGAUGCUAUGAUAAAUCCUAAGUAGAGGAAAGCAAUGCUUGAAGAAAUACGAUCCUUGAAAAAAAUCAGACUUAGAAAUUGAUCCCCUUACCUGCUAGAAAACAAUCAGUAGGUUGCAAAUGGGUUUAUACUGUGAAACAAAUUCUUGAGGAUAAAGUUGAUCGGUACAAAGCUCGUUUAGUUGCGAGAGGGUAUACAUAGACAUACGGCAUUGAUUAUGAGAAGACUUUCACCCCUAUAGUCAAGAUCAACAUAGUUCGGACCCUCAUUUCUUGUGCGGCAAAUCUCAGUUAGAGUUUAUUCCAAGUAGAUGUGAAAAAUACCUUUUUACAUGGUGAUCUUCAAGAAAAUGUGUAUAUGAAGAUUCCUCCUGGAUUUAUUAGUACAGAAACUACUGGCAAGGUUUGCCGACUGCGUCGGUCAUUCUAUGGACUAAAGCAAUCACCCAGAGUAUGGUUUGAUUGCUUCCGUCAUGCCAUAUUUGAAAUUGGUUACCACCAGAGUAAUGUAUAUCAUACUAUGUUCUUCUGUCAUAAUAAAGGGAAGGUUGUUAUCCUAAUUAUUUAUGUUGAUGAUAUUACUCUUACUAGUGAUGAUCUCUCAGAAUUGGUCCGUUUGAAGACUCAAUUGGCAUAAUCUUUUGAAGUCAAAGAUCUGGAUAACUUGUGGUACUUUCUUGAGAUUGAAGUAACCAGAUUUUCUCGUGGCAUCUUUUUUUCUCAACGAAAAUACAUCCUAGAUUUAUUGACUGAGACAAAAAUAUUGGGAUGUCGACCUGCUGUCACACCUAUCAAAUAGAAUCAUCAUUUUACUACUAAUAGUGGUGAGCCAGUUGAUCGUGAGCGAUAUCAACAUCUUAUUGGCAGACUGAUCUAUCUAUCUCACACAAGACCUGACAUAGCCUUUGCAGUCAGUGUUGUGAGUCAGUACAUAUAUGAUUCCCAUAAACACCGUCAGGAAGCUGUAUAUAGAAUUCUUCGAUAUCUUAAAAGUUGCCCAGGACGUGGUCUUCUUUUCUCUCAUCAUAAACAUCUCAAAGUUAAAGUCUAUUCUGAUGCUGAUUGGGCAGGCUCUAUAAAUGAUGGUCAAUCAACCUCAGGCUAUUGUACUUUUAUUGGUGGUAAUCUUGUAACUUGGUGCAGUAAAAAAUAAGAUGUUGUUGCUUGAUCUAGUGCGGAGGCUGAGUACCGAACUAUGACUCAAGACAUUUAUGAGGUUUUACGUUUGAAACAAUUGCUUAUUGAGUUACGUCUUUUUCAAUCCUCUUCCCUAUUUUUAUACUAUCAUAAUAAGGUGGCCACUAACAUUACCAACGAUCCUAUUCAAUAUGACAGAACUAAGCAUAUAGAAAUUGAUCGUCAUUUCAUCAAAGAAAAGCUGGAUCAUAAAGUUAUCUGUUUAUUAUUUAUUAAAUCUUCAGAAUAAUUGGCAGACAUUCUAACGAAGAGUCUCAGUGGUUAUAUGUUUUCUUCGAUUUGCAGCAAGAUGAGACUUCAUGAUAUCUUCGCCUCAUUUUGAGGUAGAGUAUUGACAGUCUUGCCUACCCUGUCUUUCCAUGCAUGGCAUUUUUCUGUUUAGGUAAUAGUCGUGAAUGAUUUUACUUUGUUUAAGGGAUAACCAAAAAUAAAUUAUCACCUUCCUUUAAAGAGAAUGAAAACUCUUAUAUAAGAUGGGGAGGACCCCUAAGGCUAUAAUAUGGAGAAAAAUAAAAAGAGAAUUCCUCCUUUCUCAAGAAUUCCUCCUCCUCUCCCAUCUCUAGUUUUCAACAAAAACCUACCAACUUUGUCUCGAUAGAUGAAGUAUUAAGGGUUUUUUAAUUGCAAUCACAAUAUCUGAAACACACUCUAUGCUCCUUUUUUGGAUAUAGAAUAGGCUUUGGGAUGGCAUCACGUCAUUAUCACAUCAUGUCAGGUUAAUUAACUCGCACAAAUCAUCAAAUUUGAUAUGAAGUUUAAAUUUUGAAGCGUCUCUUUAAGCAGCCUCUCCUAUGAUUCCCUCCUACUAUGGUUUAGGCAUACAACAAUGGGAUAAUUGGUUAAAUUUCAUGGUCAUUAACCAUAGAAAUAGUCCAACAUAUAUACAAUCGUAUAAACUUGGGGGCAUUCCAUGUGGCUGUUGCACUUGUUGAUUUUGUGUGAAAUAUAUUUGGAAACCCAGGUUAUAUAUGCAUCGAUCCAUAACUUCUCAUGGCAGAUCUGAUGGUCAUCAGUGGACUGAAACCUAACACAAAGCUUCUUAAUUAAUGACAGUUUUCUCAAUUUUUCACAAUGCAUAUCCAACCGUGGCAAUUAUUUGCUAAACUGUCAAGAUAUAUAUAUGGCCAUCCCUAGUGCAAGUUUGCAUUAGUUUGGCAAUNNNNNNNNNNNNNNNNNNNNNNNNNNNNNNNNNNNNNNNNNNNNNNNNNNNNNNNNNNNNNNNNNNNNNNNNNNNNNNNNNNNNNNNNNNNNNNNNNNNNNNNNNNNNNNNNNNNNNNNNNNNNNNNNNNNNNNNNNNNNNNNNNNNNNNNNNNNNNNNNNNNNNNNNNNNNNNNNNNNNNNNNNNNNNNNNNNNNNNNNNNNNNNNNNNNNNNNNNNNNNNNNNNNNNNNNNNNNNNNNNNNNNNNNNNNNNNNNNGCAUAUGUGGACAUUAUACUGUUAUAAUUCUUCAGUAAGAAUUUCUGUAGUACAGUAGUCAAAUCCAAACCCAUGUUAUCUAUUUCUGCAGGCAACAUCAUCCCGGAUAGCAACUAACCGGACUCGCAUGUUGCAAUUAUGGUCCCGGCCAACAAUGGCUACGUGCCUUAUUGAAUAGUACACCAACUUGAUUUCUAAUUAUUCCUUCACCAACUGCUUGAAGUUAAUAGGGGUGACAAACGGCGGUGAUCCACUGUAGAUGUCUAGGACAGCCUCCUCGUAUGUCCUCUGGGUAGCGUGUAUAGCGUCCCAAAAAAGGUAUUCAUUGCGGUUCUCACAGUAAGUAGCGGUCGGAGUGCAAUCGGCCGAACUUUUACCUCCACAGCAUGCACUUUGGACAUCUUUAAACCCUGGCGACGCGUCAUUAAAACUUUUUAGUUACUUGAUCACUCUAAAUUUUUUUAUCCAAGAUGCAGGAACGUUAAUUAAUAUUAGUUACAUGACACGCUGACCAAGAAUAGUUAUUGAGCUUACC
rnacentral:lncRNA from 1 species